CACAGCAGACACCAGGACACUGAACUCUUCAAAGGCCUAGUUCAUAGCUAAACUGUGUCUUCUGAAAUCUUGAAUCCUCUUCUGCAUCACCUCACAGCUUUUGCACAAGGACUGCAAAAGGUGUCUGCUGACCGAGCCAAAAGGCUGGUGGGCUGAAACACUUUUGGCUGCAGAGAAGGGAUUAAACUUGGACUCCAUUAAGUGACAGUAGCUGGAAGAAAUUUUUAAGCUGAUUUUUCAUUCCAUCCAAACCAUCACAUAUUCCUUGAAAAGAAGCUUUGUAUCCUAAAUAAAGAUAUUGAUAUUUUAGUUGAGGAUUUGGAGCAGAACCUCAGUAUGUGUGAAGACUAAGGGGAAGAAGCACAUAUCAACUGCCAAAACUUCUUUCCACGUAUCUUUAGCAGGGAAUUCAGUGAAAGGAGUAAAUCUUGGCUUUCUGACUCCUAACCUGUUUUCAUCCAGACAUCCAUACCCUGCUGCUGCAGAACUGAUUCAAACAAUUUCAGAGGAUGUAACUAAACCACAUGUGGUUUACCAUUGAUCUUUACCAUAAAUCAGAAGAAUGAUGAAAAUUGUGGAAAAAGGUCAGUGAACUUUAUUCCACUUCUCCUUCACUUAUAUCUUCUGUUAUUUAAAAU
rnacentral:lncRNA from 1 species